rnacentral:rRNA from 1 species
GCUUGCUGGGGGAUUAGUGGCGAACGGGUGAGUAACACGUGAGUAACCUGCCCUUGACUCUGGGAUAAGCCUGGGAAACUGGGUCUAAUACCGGAUACGACCAUCUGGCGCAUGUCAUGGUGGUGGAAAGCUUUUGUGGUUUUGGAUGGACUCGCGGCCUAUCAGCUUGUUGGUGGGGUAAUGGCCUACCAAGGCGACGACGGGUAGCCGGCCUGAGAGGGUGACCGGCCACACUGGGACUGAGACACGGCCCAGACUCCUACGGGAGGCAGCAGUGGGGAAUAUUGCACAAUGGGCGCAAGCCUGAUGCAGCGACGCCGCGUGAGGGAUGACGGCCUUCGGGUUGUAAACCUCUUUCAGUAGGGAAGAAGCGAAAGUGACGGUACCUGCAGAAGAAGCGCCGGCUAACUACGUGCCAGCAGCCGCGGUAAUACGUAGGGCGCAAGCGUUAUCCGGAAUUAUUGGGCGUAAAGAGCUCGUAGGCGGUUUGUCGCGUCUGCUGUGAAAGACCGGGGCUCAACUCCGGUUCUGCAGUGGGUACGGGCAGACUAGAGUGCAGUAGGGGAGACUGGAAUUCCUGGUGUAGCGGUGAAAUGCGCAGAUAUCAGGAGGAACACCGAUGGCGAAGGCAGGUCUCUGGGCUGUAACUGACGCUGAGGAGCGAAAGCAUGGGGAGCGAACAGGAUUAGAUACCCUGGUAGUCCAUGCCGUAAACGUUGGGCACUAGGUGUGGGGGGACAUUCCACGUUUUCCGCGCCGUAGCUAACGCAUUAAGUGCCCCGCCUGGGGAGUACGGCCGCAAGGCUAAAACUCAAAGGAAUUGACGGGGGCCCGCACAAGCGGCGGAGCAUGCGGAUUAAUUCGAUGCAACGCGAAGAACCUUACCAAGGCUUGACAUGAACCGGAAAGACCUGGAAACAGGUGCCCCGCUUGCGGUCGGUUUACAGGUGGUGCAUGGUUGUCGUCAGCUCGUGUCGUGAGAUGUUGGGUUAAGUCCCGCAACGAGCGCAACCCUCGUUCUAUGUUGCCAGCGCGUUAUGGCGGGGACUCAUAGG